rnacentral:sRNA from 1 species
GCUGGGCAUGGGGUUGCAUUCUUGUAAUCCUAGCUACUGGGAGACUGAGGCAGAAGGAUUGCAAGUUUGAGGCCAGCCUGGGCAACUUAGCCAGAUCCUGUCUCAA